CCUACGGGAGGCAGCAGUGAGGAAUAUUGGUCAAUGGACGAGAGUCUGAACCAGCCAAGUAGCGUGAAGGAUGACUGCCCUAUGGGUUGUAAACUUCUUUUAUAUGGGAAUAAAAUGUUCCACGUGUGGGAUUUUGUAUGUACCAUAUGAAUAAGGAUCGGCUAACUCCGUGCCAGCAGCCGCGGUAAUACGGAGGAUCCGAGCGUUAUCCGGAUUUAUUGGGUUUAAAGGGAGCGUAGGUGGAUUGUUAAGUCAGCGGUAAAAUUUCGGGGCUCAACCCCGUCGUGCCGUUGAAACUGGCGUUCUUGAGUGAGCGAGAAGUAUGCGGAAUGCGUGGUGUAGCGGUGAAAUGCAUAGAUAUCACGCAGAACUCCGAUUGCGAAGGCAGCAUACCGGCGCCCAACUGACGCUGAAGCACGAAAGCGUGGGUAUCGAACAGGAUUAGAUACCCUUGUAGUC
rnacentral:rRNA from 1 species